rfam:Soonwooa buanensis strain DSM 22323 genome assembly, contig: LY62DRAFT_scaffold00015.15
UAGGGUGGUUUUAGCAGAGGGGCUCACCUGUUCCCAUUCCGAACACAGAAGUUAAGCCCUCUAGCGCCGAUGGUACUGCUAACGCGGGAGAGUAGGUCGCCGCCAGUU